AUCAUGGUUCAGGGAUGAACGCUAGCUACAGGCUUAACNCAUGCAAGUCGCGGGGUAACAUCUGGUAGAGCUUGCUCUUCCAGGAUGACGACCGGCGCACGGGUGAGUAACGCGUAUCCAACCUGGCCCAUACCACGGGAUAGCCCGUCGAAAAGGCGGAUUAAUACCGUAUGCUGUCAUUAAGAUGCAUAUAUUGAUGACGAAAGGACUGGCGGUAUGGGAUGGGGAUGCGUCUGAUUAGCUUGUUGGCGGGGUAACGGCCCACCAAGGCGACGAUCAGUAGGGGUUCUGAGAGGAAGGGUCCCCCACAUUGGAACUGAGACACGGUCCAAACUCCUACGGGAGGCAGCAGUGAGGAAUAUUGGUCAAUGGGCGCAAGCCUGAACCAGCCAAGUAGCGUGAGGGAAGACUGCCCUACGGGUUGUAAACCUCUUUGUUUGGGAAUAAAGUGCGGGACGUGUCCCGCAUUGCAUGUACCAUUUGAAUAAGGACCGGCUAAUUCCGUG
rnacentral:rRNA from 1 species